CCUACGGGCGGCAGCAGUGAGGAAUAUUGGUCAAUGGGCGCGAGCCUGAACCAGCCAAGUCGCGUGAGGGAGGACGGCCCUACGGGUUGUAAACCUCUUUUGCCGGGGAGCAACGGGCGUUACGUGUGGCGCCACUGAGAGUCCCCGGAGAAAAAGCAUCGGCUAACACCGUGCCAGCAGCCGCGGUAAUACGAAGGAUGCGGGCGUUAUCCGGAUUGAUUGGGUUUAAGGGGUACGUAGGCGGAUCGUUAAGUCAGUGGGCAAAAUGAGGGGCUCAACCCCUUCCCGCCAAUGAUACUGGCGCACUUGAGUGGAAGAGAGGUAAGCGGAAUGCGUGGUGUAGCGGUGAAAUGCAUAGAUAUCACGCAGAACCCCGAUUGCGAAGGCAGCAUGCCGGCUUCCGACUGACGCUGAGGCACGAAAGCGUGGGGAUCGAACAGGAUUAGAUACCCGAGUAGUC
rnacentral:rRNA from 1 species